rnacentral:ncRNA from 55 species
AGCUACAUCUGGCUACUGGGUCUC